UUUGCUUUGGGUUUCACUGGUUUGGCCUUUUUGGGCUUGGAUGCCUUGACCGGCUUGGCUUUGACAGUCUUGGGUUUUUUGGCUUUCUUGGGCGUGGCAGCCAGCUUCUUCUUGGCCUUCUUGACCGGGGUGGCUUUGGGUUUCUUGGUUGGGGCUUUGGAGGCAGCCUUCUUGGGCUUGGAUGCCUUCUUUGGCGUGGCUACCUUCUUGAUUUCCUUCUUGGUCUUCUUGAAGGCCACUGACUUCUUG
rnacentral:lncRNA from 1 species